UCUGCGCACUAACCCACGUGUGGACGGAGGGCAGCUGAUGGAGCAGGAGAAAAGCUGAUUGUCGGAGUUCACGGCUGCCCCCUGGUGUGCGGAGCAGGUGUCUGUGCUAAGGUUGGCAUCAAUAGGGUCAUAUCUGGGAAGCUCGGGGUCCCCAGAUUGCCUAAGGAGGGGUGAACCGGUCCAGGUCUGAAACGGAGGAGGUCAAAACUCCCGUGCCGAUCAGUAGUGGGAUCGCGCCUGUAAACACCUCUUGUGGCACCGCCUCGCCAGUACAGCGAGAGCCAGUCUCCU
rnacentral:SRP_RNA from 1 species